UCGAAGAAGGGCAGAGACCGUG
rnacentral:siRNA from 1 species